rnacentral:rRNA from 1 species
UACGUAGGCAGCAAGCGUUGUUCGGAAUCAUUGGGCGUAAAGCGCGUGUAGGUGGCUAGUUAAGUCGGGUGUGAAAUCCCUGGGCUCAAUCGAGGAAGUGCACUCGAAACUGGCUGGCUAGAAGAUGGUAGAGGAAGGUGGAAUUCCAAGUGUAGAGGUGAAAUUCGUAGAUAUUUGGAGGAAUACCGGCGGCGAAGGCGGCCUUCUGGGCCAUUCUUGACACUGAGACGCGAAAGCGUGGGGAGCAAACAGG